ACUUAUAUAGUUUAAUGGUUAAAACAUUUGUCUCAUAAGCAAAGUAUGUAGGUUCGAUUCCUUCUAUAGGUA
rfam:Hanseniaspora osmophila strain AWRI3579 Hanseniaspora_osmophila_AWRI3579_scaffold288, whole genome shotgun sequence.